UUAAUAGGUUUAAAGGGUACUUAGACGGUAAAUCAAGCCCUAAUAGGGAACUAAUAUACUAGAGUUUGAUGUAAGGAAGCAUGAAAGUACUGUUGGUGUAGAGAUAAAAUUCUAUCAUACCAAAUAUGGCACAGGUUUAGGCGAAAGCAUCCUCUUAUGUAAUAACUGACGUUGAAGGACGAAGGCUUUGUGUCUCGAACAGGAUUAGAUACCCCAGUAGUCUAAGCAGACAAUGAUGAAUGUCAUAGAUUAGAUUUAAUUUAUUCUAUAAAUGAAAGUGUAAGCAUUCCACCUCAAGAGUAAUUUGGCAACAUUGGAACUGAAAUCAUUAGACCGUUUCUGAAACCAGUAGUGAAGUAUGUUGUUUAAUUAGAUGGUACGCAAAAAACCUUACCACAAUUUGAAUUAGUAAUAUGUUUUCACAAGCGCUGCACGGCUGUC
rnacentral:rRNA from 1 species